UAGGGAAUCUUCGGCAAUGGACGAAAGUCUGACCGAUCAACGCCGCGCGAGUGAAGAAGGUUUUCGGAUCGUAAAACUCUGUUGUUAGAGAAGAACAAGGACGUUAGUAACUGAACGUCCCCUGACGGUAUCUAACCAGAAAGCCACGGCUAACUACGUGCCAGCAGCCGCGGUAAUACGUAGGUGGCAAGCGUUGUCCGGAUUUAUUGGGCGUAAAGCGAGCGCAGGCGGUUUCUUAAGUCUGAUGUGAAAGCCCCCGGCUCAACCGGGGAGGGUCAUUGGAAACUGGGAGACUUGAGUGCAGAAGAGGAGAGUGGAAUUCCAUGUGUAGCGGUGAAAUGCGUAGAUAUAUGGAGGAACACCAGUGGCGAAGGCGGCUCUCUGGUCUGUAACUGACGCUGAGGCUAGAAAGCGUGGGGAGCAAACAGG
rnacentral:rRNA from 1 species